UGCCUAUCUCACGUUCCCUUGACCACCGUCACGGCCCAAUUGCCGUCGAUGAGUCAUCAGAAUUGGUGAAAACCCAAAUAUCCUAUUUGGGUUUUCUUUUCCUUGUCUCUUUCAUCUUUUUUCUUCUUCCACAAAGCUGGUUGCCCCUAUUGGACAAUGCCAUACUCGGGUGGCCAAAGGUUGAAGUUGUUGGGGUCUGCCAAUAUUGGGGGUUGCCGCCACCACUAGAGACCACGUACUAUGCCGAGGGUGGUCUGCUUUUUUUAUUUUUUCAAGAAGGGG
rnacentral:lncRNA from 1 species